GAAAAAUAAUUAAAAAGCAGAAAAAAUACGGAGCAUUGGAUCACACCUCAUUAAUUGACGUGACAGAUCCAACACUCCUCAAAUUAGGGUGCACAAUGGUAUGCAAAACAAACAACACACGAGAUCCAGUUUAAAAUAAACCAAUGAAAACAUUUCAUUUGCCCAACGUGUCUGGCCAAACUCAAACGACCUGGAUCACUCUGGUCAUUUUCUC
rnacentral:lncRNA from 1 species